GGUAUGUGGCUCAGUGGUAGAUUGCUUCUCUAGCAUGCAUGAGGCACUAGGUUCAAUCCUUAGCACCA
rnacentral:tRNA from 1 species